rnacentral:rRNA from 1 species
UGGGGAAUAUUGCACAAUGGGGGAAACCCUGAUGCAGCGACGCCGCGUGAGCGAAGAAGGCUUUCGAGUCGUAAAGCUCUGUCCUAUGAGAAGAUAAUGACGGUAUCAUAGGAGGAAGCCCUGGCUAAAUACGUGCCAGCAGCCGCGGUAAUACGUAUGGGGCGAGCGUUGUCCGGAAUUAUUGGGCGUAAAGGGUACGUAGGCGGUUUUUUAAGUCAGGUGCCAAAGCGUGGAGCUUAACUCCAUUAAGCACUUGAAACUGAAAGACUUGAGUGAAGGAGAGGAAAGUGGAAUUCCUAGUGUAGCGGUGAAAUGCGUAGAUAUUAGGAGGAAUACCGGUGGCGAAGGCGACUUUCUGGACUUUUACUGACGCUCAGGUACGAAAGCGUGGGGAGCAAACAGG